UGAAAACAGGAAGACUCACCGGAAGUAUCGCCGAAGGAGGCCUUUUCGACAGGGCACGUGGCAGCAGGAGAAGUACCCAGGAGCUGGAAAGAAGAGGGAAAAGAGACCUCGUGUAGUAACGGUGUGAGUACCCUAAACCAUCGUACAGCAGUAUCAUCAUCUAGAGUGAACCAUCUGUGAGCGUUUUGUGAGUUUGUGGCAUAGUAUGUGAGCGGCCCCACUGUGGAGGAGGAUUGUGGGUGAGCCGGGACCAGUGAGCGAGAGAGGAUGUUGGGCUGUUGUGGCGGCAACGUUUAAAUCUGAAUAUUCGUGGCAUCAGUGUCUUCACGACUUCCAGGAAGAGUCUUUGGUCAGACGGGGUGUUGACCCUAAAUUCACCAGAGUGUGUGGAGUGCAGUGGGCCCGACGAAAUCCUGUGAAGGAAGUGAAUACCGAGGCCGCGAAGAAAACAUCUCCAAUUAUAUGCCGUCGAUGACAUCCUGACCCUUCUUCCCCACGUGACGGUGGUGGGAAACAAUUUCAAGUAAGAACAGUGUGGAUCUCCUGGGAAGUAUUAAUGGUGAGGAGUUGGCUGCUGUAGGAGGAAAUCAGCUGUGCGUGUAUUAUUACCUGCUGUGGAGUUCUUCAAAGGUUCGCCCCUGUCUAGAUGUCUUGACUUGUCGGUUGGUAGAAGCCUCAGAAAAGGAACGUCUGACGUCUAUUCCCUCGAAGGUCUGUGAGUUACAUCACUUCCUGUUUCCCUGUAUAUUCACCGUAAACGUAUGCCCAAAGCUAAAGUCAGCAUAUUGUGUUGUACACCCACCUGUCUGCCCAGAGUAAAGUCCCAGUUAUAUUGGAUGUACUUACUUUAUGCCCAAAGCUAAGGCCAGCAUAUUGUGUUGUACACUCGCCUGUAUGCCCAAGUGAAGUCCCAGUUACCUUUGAUGUACUUACCUUAUGCCCAAAGCUAAAGCCAGCAUAUUGUGUUGUACACUCGCCUGUCUGCCCAAAGUGAAGUCCCAGUUGUAUUGGAUGUACUUACCUUAUGCCCAAAGCUAAAGCCAGCAUAUUGUGUUGUACACUCGCCUGUCUGCC
ensembl:lncRNA